UAUAGUUUUUGCAUUUAUUUAUAAAUUCAUUUCUUUCAAAUUAAGAGAAUUUUUAAUAUAUUGAAUAUCUAAUAUUAAGCAUAUUGACUCUUCGCACUUUCUUUUGUAGUUGCUUAAAGAAUAUAUAAUUUGUUAUACAUGCAAGUAUAGUAAAGCAAAUAUAUUAAAAAUACAAAAUAAAAAUAAUCUUAUAAAAGAGUACAACCAUAAGAUGUAUCAUGGGUUUCGUAAUUUUAUUCGGUAGUUUAUAAUUUUUUAAAUGCAAAGUAUUAAUAAUAGGUUCAUUGAUUCGCUUAUAUAUCUACUUAGAUAUUCUAGUAAAUACGCUUGUGUAAAUGAGUACGAUUUAUGGAUUGUUUCGAUCUAUCGUCUCUCCAUAGAUUAGGACUGUUCAAAAAAUAUAUAAUAAACUUUUAUUUUUAAUCAAUAUUUCUAUCUCUCUUAAUAAAUGUAAUAUAUCUCUUGAUAAUAAUAUAAUGUUAUAUGAUAAUAUAAUUGAAUUCAUUGAGUUAAAGAACAAGUCAAAAAUUAGCUAUUUUUGAAAUAAGAGGAGUAAAUAUAUUUCUAAAGAAUUUAUAACAGUUUACAGGGAAAUAGCAAGAAAUAACAGAGAAGAAUACAUUAUGCGAGUAUAAGAGAGUGGGGUACCAUAUAAGAUAACAAAUUUUUGAACGUGAAAGAAGAAUAUAAAUAUGAUGAAAAUAUAUAAACAUCUAUAAACACAUCCUUAGAGGUUAGAAGUUCAGAGAAAAAAGGAAUAUGAAAUAAUAUCGAGGAUAAUAAUGCAUAAUAGCAUUAAUAUAAAAUAAAUAAUAUGGAGAAAUCAUUUUACUAUUACAAGUGGCGACAGAAAUCAUGCAGCGAUUACACAGAUAUACCAGAAAUUAAAUAAUUAUUGUAUGAGGUGAUACAUUUUACGCAAUAUUAUAAACUCGUAUGUAUGUAAAAUUUUUCAAAACAAUUUUAAUUUCUUUCUUUAAUAUAAGUUUGACGAAUAUAUAUCUAGUUAGCUAUAAAAAAGAAAAAAGAAAAAAGGAAACUAAAACAGGAAAAUCGUUUAUUCUCGCAGGUCCCAGCUAUAGAAAAUUGAAAUUCAAGAAACUUGGCCUUUCAAUGGGAUGUCGCGAGGAUGAAUCUCGUCUAUAAAAAGGCGCCGUUAACGCUGCUCGUGUCAUUUGGUUUUUGCAAGUUGUAUUACAUAAGUAUCGUACAACAAGUAAUCGCUCUCUCCAUACUUUAUACAUCCCAAUGAAAACUUUUUCAAGCAAUCCAAACGAAAUGAAACCGAUUUUCUCGAUCUAUAUCGUCUUGGUUAUUAUUUGAUUGGUUCUUGGACAAGCUAUAGCAUCCAAACACACUACAUCGUUUAAAAUGAGAUCAUCCGUUUAUCUUUGAUAUACGAGACAAGAUGAAGCAGUUUCGAGAGGAGCAAAGUAUUGCAGUACGUAAUCACGAGCAUGUAAAAAUUUACAAAACGCAAAGAAGCCGAUAUUUGCAAAGAAGAUACACGGCUUGAUACAUCGUGCUUUCUGUUUUUUCGUAUAUCCUCAUCCGGUACGUGCUACAAAAUGCCCGUCCACCGGGCAGAUCAGAACGCAAUAAUAUCCUUCUUUUACGUCGUCUGUAUAAUAAUUUUCGUGCGUUGCAUUAAGAAUUAUAACUUAAGGCGCAAAUUAUUAUCACUUUACGGUUUUUGUUCACUUAAUAAUUUGUAAUAUGUUUCUCGUUUCUUAAUUGGUUGUGAAUGGUUACCCAUUGAGAAAAAAAUUUAGUUGAGGGAUACAUGUAGCACAUGCAGCAGUGUGCAUAUAAUGUGGUGUGUGUACAAAGUACAUUAGAGUUAAUUAAACUUAAAAUCUACUUCGAUAUAGUGCAUAUUUAACGGAAAUAUACUUGGAUGUAUAUCCACUUACAGAAAUUUUAAUCCGAUGUAAUUUGUAAUGAGUGUUAAUAUAUUGUGUCUGCGUGCGUGUAAAAUAAUGAUUAUUCAAUUACAUUUUCUCACGUUCUACGAUAUCAAUUAUUCUUCGAUCUCUAUAUCGUUUCUCGAUAAGCUUUAAGACAUGAAGCAUUCCAAUAGUUUUCGUUGUACUCCGUGCGAUGGUGUUACUCGUCGAUUUAAUGUAAGGUGUCAAACCGUGAGUUAGCUGCAACUGGUUACGUAGAUCCUCUUCGACACCUACUAGUAGUUACUUGUUUGUCCACACGUAUUUAGGCGCCAUGGAAACGCGCGGUAGUUUUAAACGAUUCGAUAAAACUGAUCAAAAUGGAUAGUCACAUUUAACGUUGGUUUACUCUCACGCUGUACGAAUUUGAUUUGUCCGUAUAAACGUUAAAAUAAUAAAGAGAGAAAGAAAAUUUGUUGAAAAUUUCAGCGACAUUACGCACAUGAGGAGCUCCAAGGAAAUUCAACGAAUCAGCAAAACUUCUUUCACUCCUAUUAUUCUUCUUGUAAAAAGAAAAAGUAUUUUUCGUUGAUGCAAUCACCAUAGAGAAAAGCGCGAAAGUAAGAUUGGUUGUCGACUAAAAAUAAGCGUACGAACGAGCGCUUGUCGAUGUGUUUCUAUCGUUCGCAUUUCAUCGUUAAACAAAGAAUGCUGUUUUUGGAGUGACUCCAAAAAAAGUAUUUGUGAGUCUACAUAAGGUCUCUUUCUCGGUGUAUAUAUCGUGCUUCUGUAAUAUAUUUUUGGAAGUUG